ensembl:lncRNA
UGGCUGUUUGCCUAAUUGUUCUUUCCCCUUGUACUGACUCCAGUUUCUCCCAUCCAUGCUGGUGCUUCUACCAUCAUAGACCCUGAUGCCAAACCCAUCCCUGCCAAGGGAUGGAAUUAUAGCCAGGCCUCUGCUGCCCAUCUGGACAGCCUUUCCCCGCCUCCCCGGAAGUUAGAUGUGAGCAAGUGAUGUGGCUGUCAUCAUGGAACGUGAGCAGAGCUGACGUGGAGCAUCCACAGGCCUGGGGGGACGUGGCGGCGAGUCCUCCGUACUCUUUCUCCUUCCUGAUGGCUGGAAUCUGCACUCACAGCCACCCAGUAUCAACCAGUGACUGUGAUGGUACUGCCGAGGCGGGGGCACACAGGGCAAGGAGAGGCGCCCACCUCUUGCGCCACCCAUGUUGACAAUGUGGUGUAAGAGAGAAAUACAACCCUUUGUCUGCCUGGCCACGUGUUGCUGCCUCGCUUUGUUACAGCACUUUUCUCUGUUAUGGUAUGCUUCCUUCUAAUUGUCCUGCUCUGAGGUGUUCUUUUCCUCACAUUCCAUGGUCCUCUCUCAGAUCAGGGAGUCCGGGUUCACUAUCUAAUUCCACAACAGUAUUUAUUAAAAGUG